AGCCCGUGUCUCUUGUCUCUCCUCUAUUUUUUUCACUGCAGUAUACAAUCUACUAACGACUCCUUUAUUAUCGUUGCUCUAUGAGCUCUCAAUCUCAGAUGGUGAGUUGAUCAUUUUUUUUUCUUUUAAAAGGAUUUGACCUAUUUAGAAGGUGUUAAUAUUUUUCCUAUCUUAUACCUCCACCAGGCGUGGUUAAGGAAAUGGGGUGAGUUCAUUUUAAGUUAUGCAAUAUUUAGUGGCAAAUCUUGAGAACGAAAAUAAAAAAAAUAGUCACUUGAAGAAGAUUGUACAACUAAAAUAAUCGCUCUAUGUCUAUAUAUCAAGCGCCUUGUUCAUGAUUUAUGCAUUUCUAAACAUGGUCCUCUGAUGCCUUAAUUCAUCAAAUUAUACAUGUCACUACAAAAAAAA
rnacentral:lncRNA from 1 species